UGUACACACCGCCCGUCGCUACUACCGAUUGAAUGGCUCAGUGAGGCGUUCGGACUGGCUCGGAGAGGUUGGCAACGACCACUCCGAGCCGGAAAGUUCGUCAAACUCGGUCAUUUAGAGGAAGUAAAAGUCGUAACAAGGUUUCCGUAGGUGAACCUGCGGAAGGAUCAUUA
rnacentral:rRNA from 1 species